rnacentral:rRNA from 1 species
GAUGAACGCUGGCGGCGUGCCUAAUACAUGCAAGUCGAGCGAACAGACGAGGAGCUUGCUCCUCUGACGUUAGCGGCGGACGGGUGAGUAACACGUGGAUAACCUACCUAUAAGACUGGGAUAACUUCGGGAAACCGGAGCUAAUACCGGAUAAUAUAUUGAACCGCAUGGUUCAAUAGUGAAAGACGGUUUUGCUGUCACUUAUAGAUGGAUCCGCGCCGCAUUAGCUAGUUGGUAAGGUAACGGCUUACCAAGGCAACGAUGCGUAGCCGACCUGAGAGGGGGGGCGCCGACAUGGGAAGGGAGACAGGGUCAGGACUCAUGGGGGGGGAAGAAGAAGGGAAUCUUCGGCAAGGGGGGAAGGUUGGGGGGCACAGGGCGGGGUGGGUAGGAAGGGUCUUGGGUGCGAAAAACUGUUUUAUGGGGGAAAAAAAAAUGUGAAAAAAAAAAGGCAGGUAUGGAGGGUACAUAAUAAAAAAGCAACGGCAAACUAGGUG